UACAGAGGUCCCAAGCGUUGUUCGGAUUCAUUGGGCGUAAAGGGCGCGUAGGCGGUGCGGUAUGUCUCCUGUGAAAUCUCUAGGCUCAACUUAGAGUCUGCAGGAGAAACUGCCGUGCUUGAGUGCUGGAGAGGUGAGUGGAAUUCCUGGUGUAGCGGUGAAAUGCGCAGAUAUCAGGAAGAACACCAAUGGCGAAGGCAGCUCUCUGGGACGGUACUGACACUGAGACGCGAAAGCGUGGGGAGCGAACAGG
rnacentral:rRNA from 1 species